GACGAACGCUGGCGGCGUGCUUAACACAUGCAAGUCGUACGGUAAGGCCCUUUCGGGGGUACACGAGUGGCGAACGGGUGAGUAACACGUGAGUAACCUGCCCACAACUUUGGGAUAACGCUAGGAAACUGGUGCUAAUACUGGAUAUGUGCUCCUGCUGCAUGGUGGGGGUUGGAAAGCUCCGGCGGUUGGGGAUGGACUCGCGGCCUAUCAGCUUGUUGGUGGGGUAGUGGCCUACCAAGGCGGCGACGGGUAGCCGGCCUGAGAGGGUGACCGGACACAUUGGGACUGAGAUGAGGCCCAGACUCCUACGGGAGGCAGCAGUGGGGAAUAGUGCACAAUGGGCGGAAGCCUGAUGCAGCAACGCCGCGUGCGGGAUGACGGCCUUCGGGUUGUAAACCGCUUUCAGCAGGGACGAAGCGUUUUGUGACGGUACCUGCAGAAGAAGCACCGGCUAACUACGU
rnacentral:rRNA from 1 species